CCCUUAGAUGUCCUGGGCCGCACGCGUGCUACACUGAUACGUGCAACAAGUUUUUCUCCUGGCUCGGAAGAGUUCGGGUAAUCUUGAUAAUGCGUAUCGUGCUAGGGAUAGAUCUUUGAAAUUAUGGAUCUUGAACGAGGAAUUCCUAGUAAGCAUAAGUCAUCAGCUUGUGCUGAUUACGUCCCUGCCCUUGUACACACCGCCCGUCGCUGCUACCGAUUUUGAGUGAUCCGGUGAACCUUCUGGACUGUAUUCGGGCUUGACCCGGACGUGGGAAAUUAAGUAAACCUUAUCACUUAGAGGAAGCAGAAGUCGUAACA
rnacentral:rRNA from 1 species